AGAGAAACUCCAGGUACAUCAGAAGACAUAAGGAAUAAAGGAUUUGACGGGUCAGGAACAAAACUAGCAGGUGCAGGAAGGGGAUCUACAUUUGCAUCAGUCAUUUUAAGUGUGAAUGACGGCAAAUGAAAGAAUGAAUGAAAUAUAUGUGAUACAAAAUUGUUACUGAAGGACUAAUUCGAUUUAGAAAAAACACAAAACUCCUGUAAACACAUCACCAACAGUACCGAUGAACAGAUGAGACAACAACNNN
rnacentral:lncRNA from 1 species